ensembl:lncRNA
GCUGCUGUUAUUGUCUUCAUGUACGUCUGAGUGUUUGUGUGCCAUCGUGGCAAAAUGACGACCUCCCCCUCCCCCGUCUCUGACAGCUGUUUAUUUUAUCUCUCAGUCUGAGUGUGAGUGGAUGUCACGGCCGCCAUGUUAGCUUGCUGGAGACAGAAGAGCAGGCUGUGCAGGUGCGUCUCACAGGUACGGUGGAUGGUCUGUAGGUGCAGUUAACCUCACAGCGAGCCUCGUGGUUCGUCAGAUCUUCUUCUUUUUUCGGGGGUCGCCUUUUCUAAGCUCUUCAUCAUUUCCUGGCAGUUCCAUCUUCAGUUAGCUGAGUUGAAGCUAGAAGCUGCAGCGGCUUGUAUCAGCAUCCACCUGUUGACCAAAGAGGCCACACCUAUAAUACUGUGAACAUUUAAGCCUAAAUCCUCAAAUGUACUCGGCUGCAGACGGGCCGACGCCAGCGUAGUCAUUCCUGUUGAACUUCUUUGACAUCUCUUGUGUGUUUGGGUGCGACAUAGUAACAUGUCGCUACAUUCAGUAAUCGCAGUUACAGUUAUGUCGUUACUUGCGUUACAAAUGUUCUUCAGUUGCCCGUGUGCAAAGCUUUUUUUCUUCCUCCUCAUUUCACUACAAUCAGCUGAUUUCAGUUUGUGUGCUGGAGGUGGAAAAUCGUGGAGCGGUCUACAUGGACAUUACUUAAGUGCUAAAGUGCAAACAGUGUCCAGGACUGAAACAGCUGCAUUUAUACUGCUAACACAGACAGCAUGCUAACGCUAAGCUAGUUAAGAACUCGGAGUGGUGUUAAAGCUGAGUGUAUGCGGACCCCGGCACCGCAGCCAGAGCCUGAACUUAAGCAGCUAACAAACGGAUGAGCAGUCAGGCUGCAGCCUCCGUUUCUACCUGUCCAUGUUUCUAAAGUAGAAUCACCGUGGCGAUCUGUUUGAAGCUUCUUCGGCAAUGAUUACUUCUGGCUGAAAAUGAGCUCGCGUUGAAGGUCUGGGACGCUGACUAUCCAUCAGCAUUACUGUAAAUGUGCCAG